rnacentral:lncRNA from 1 species
AGAUGAGGAGGAAGACCCCACCGUGAGUGAGCGCCUGUCUCAGCCUGGUUCCUCACUCCUUUCGGAUCACUAGCGGAGGCAGAGUCUGACCCGCUUGUGCCUUAGGGAUUCCCGCCGAGAGUCCGGGGGCUCCGCGGUGUUUUCCUUUUUUGGUUUACCUUAGUCAGUGCGUGGGACAAGACGGGAAGGAAGAGUAGAAAGGGUCUCUCUUUGACCUGGAUCUUCCCGACACUAAGACAUCUAGAGGGUCAUAGGAGAUCAAAGCUGAUUAAAGCGGAACCAGCAGCCCAGAUGCUGACAAAACUAGUGAAGAUAGCGGAGAAACGAUGAACUAAAGACAGGAAGCUUGGGAUCCAAAUUCUCCUUUGGCAUCGGUUUUCUUGUGAGGUAGAGUCCAGCCCAGUUAAGGAAAGUUCUUAGCCCUUUAUCAGUUGCUUCCGAUGACAGCAGAGAGUAGAUUUUAAACUACCAGGUUUUUACAGUAGUCUUGCUUAGCAGUGUGACAACUAAAUUGGCUAAAACCAAACCCAGAACCUGAGGUCGUUAGAACUUUACACACGCACGGUUGUAAGGUUGUUAGCAGCCGUAAUAAAAGCCUUCUUGCACGACUUGAGAAUUGGACUAGGGCUUAUGAGCCCUUUGGUGCUAAAUUUUCGUGGUUUUGUGCAGUUUGCUUUAGCUUCUCACUUUCGAAAAUGAAAAAGGGUCACUGGGCGUGGUGGCGCACACCUUUAAUCCCAGCACUCAGGAGCAGAGGCAAGCGGAUCUCCGUGAGUUCAGGCAGACACGGGCACAUAGUGAGACCACUUUGUC